rnacentral:rRNA from 1 species
CAGCACCUCAAGUGGUCAGGAUGAUUAUUGGGCCUAAAGCAUCCGUAGCCGGCGCUGUAAGUGUUCGGUUAAAUCUGUACGCUCAACGUACAGGCUGCCGGGAAUACUGCAGCGCUAGGGAGUGGGAGAGGUAGACGGUACUCGGUAGGAAGGGGUAAAAUCCUUUGAUCUAUUGAUGACCACCUGUGGCGAAGGCGGUCUACCAGAACACGUCCGACGGUGAGGGAUGAAAGCUGGGGGAGCAAACCGGAUUAGAUACCCGUGUAGUCC